rnacentral:rRNA from 1 species
ACGCUCGACACCUACGGGAGGCGGCAGUGGGGAAUAUUGCACAAUGGGGGAAACCCUGAUGCAGCGACGCCGCGUGGAGGAAGAAGGUCUUCGGAUUGUAAACUCCUGUCCCAGGGGACAUAAUGACGGUACCCUGGGAGGAAGCACCGGCUAACUACGUGCCAGCAGCCGCGGUAAUCUGAGGCGGGCUGGCAAGGC